AGAUCGAAAUUUGCGGAAUGGCUCAUUAAAUCAGUUAUCGUUUAUUGAUAGUACCUUAUUACUUGGAUAACCGUGGUAAUUCUAGAGCUAAUACAUGCUUAAAAUCCCGACUGUUGGAAGGGAUGUAUUUAUUAGAUAAAAAAUCAAUGUCUUCGGACUCUUUGAUGAUUCAUAAUAACUUUUCGAAUCGCAUGGCCUUGUGCUGGCGAUGGUUCAUUCAAAUUUCUGCCCUAUCAACUUUCGAUGGUAGGAUAGUGGCCUACCAUGGUUUCAACGGGUAACGGGGAAUAAGGGUUCGAUUCCGGAGAGGGAGCCUGAGAAACGGCUACCACAUCCAAGGAAGGCAGCAGGCGCGCAAAUUACCCAAUCCCGACACGGGGAGGUAGUGACAAUAAAUAACGAUACAGGGCCCUUUCGGGUCUUGUAAUUGGAAUGAGUACAAUGUAAAUACCUUAACGAGGAACAAUUGGAGGGCAAGUCUGGUGCCAGCAGCCGCGGUAAUUCCAGCUCCAAAAGCGUAUAUUAAAGUUGUUGCAGUUAAAAAGCUCGUAGUUGAACCUUGGGCUUGGUUGGCCGGUCCAUCUUUCUGAUGCGUACUGGACCCAACCGAGCCUUUCCUUCUGGCUAGCCUUUUGGCGAACCAGGAUUUUACUUUGAAAAAAUUAGGAGUGUUCUAUAUAUCAAGAAAGGAGACG
rnacentral:rRNA from 1 species